rnacentral:rRNA from 1 species
UAAGGAAUAUUGGUCAAUGGACGAAAGUCUGAACCAGCCAUGCCGCGUGAAGGAUUAAGGCCCUCUGGGUUGUAAACUUCUUUUAUCUGGGACGAAAAAAGGGUAUUCUUACUCACUUGACGGUACCAGAGGAAUAAGCACCGGCUAACUCCGUGCCAGCAGCCGCGGUAAUACGGAGGGUGCAAGCGUUAUCCGGAUUCACUGGGUUUAAAGGGUGCGUAGGUGGAUAUUUAAGUCAGUGGUGAAAUCUCCGAGCUUAACUCGGAAACUGCCAUUGAUACUAUUUAUCUUGAAUGCCCUGGAGGUAAGCGGAAUAUGUCAUGUAGCGGUGAAAUGCUUAGAUAUGACAUAGAACACCAAUUGCGAAGGCAGCUUACUACGGGGUGAUUGACACUGAGGCACGAAAGCGUGGGGAUCAAACAGG